rnacentral:lncRNA from 1 species
AACACAUUCAUGUCCCAGAUGCAGCUCUAAUGCAAGUUCUCUGAUGUUAGGUCAUUUAUCUUCACCAGUACAUCCUGACUGAUACACAUGUACACAUAUGAAGAUCAAGAUAAAAAGACUGAAAGAGUUUAUUACUCAUGAGGCCUGACUUACAAGAAUUGCGAAGUUGAAGUGAAAGAAUACUAGACAGCAACACCAAAACAUAUGAAAAUAUAAAGCUCUUUGAUGGAGAUAAAUAUAUGGACAAAUACGGAAUCCUGUAAUUUGUAAUGGUGAUGCAUAAAUAAAUUUAAAUUCAGGUAUAAAAUUUAAAAUAUAAAAGCACAAAAAAUACAAAUAUAAAAAUAUGUUGAUACAAGAUAUUAAAACCUGUAAUUUGUGAUAUUAAUGACAUAAAGUGGAGAAUACAUUGAGGAAUAGAGUUUCUGUAUGCAACUGAAGUUAAGUUGUUAUCAAUUUCAAAUAGAUUGCUAUCACCAUAACUGUAAGAGUUUUAUAUAAUCAUAACAAUUAUCACAAAGAAUAUAUCUAUAGAAGUGCACAAAAGAAAACGAGAAAGAAUCAAAUCAUGUCACCACCAAAAAAAUCAAUAAAACACGAAGAAAGACAGCAAGAGAGAGAAACAGGGACAAAUACAUGACAUACCAAAAACUACUAACAAAAUUAUAAUAGUAAGCUCUUUCCUAUUAGGAACUACUUAAAAUGAAAAUGGAUUAAACUCUCCAAUCAAAAAACAGAAUAGUGACUGAAUUUAAAAACAAAGAUCCAACUGUAUGCUCUCUA